UACGGGGGGGGCAAGCGUUGUUCGGAAUUACUGGGCGUAAAGGGCUCGUAGGCGGCCAACUAAGUCGAAUGUGAAAUCCCCAGGCUCAACUUGGGAACUGCAUCCGAUACUGGAUGGCUUGAAUCCGGGAGAGGGAUGCAGAAUUCCAGGUGUAGCGGUGAAAUGCGUAGAUAUCUGGAGGAAUACCGGUGGCGAAGGCGGCAUCCUGGACCGGCAUUGACGCUGAUGAGCGAAAGCUAGGGGAGCAAACGGG
rnacentral:rRNA from 1 species